rnacentral:lncRNA from 1 species
CUCACUUACAAAACAUACACUCUCAUUGACAAACACAAACUCACUAACAGACAUCAAACAGACUCACUAACACACACACACACACUCAGUAAGACACACACAGUAACACACUCACUGACACUCACUAGCAGACACAUACACUAACACUCACUCUAACACUCACACACACUAACACUCACACACACUAGCAGACACACACACUAACACUCAC